GAACGGGGUUAGCUCGAAGAAACGAAAGCAGAAUGUGGCUAUCCUAAUCGGCGCUUUGAAGGAUCCUUUGAGGCCACAUAACCGUACAGCACAAAUGUCCGAAAGACAUCUUAUCCAGAGAUGUCCGAAGGAUAUCCUAUUGCUUUUUGACAUAGGAUGUCUCCGAGACGCAUCCUACAAAUUUGUACUUAUUUGUACGAAUAUAAGAGUAAUAUUUUAUGGGAUCUGGAGAAUCCCGUUGAGGAUAAGAUUACAUUUUUUCUCGGUGUACAGAAAUUUUGCAGUAAAAUCUGAAAGAUGCGAACGCUUGUGAGAAGUCGUAAAAGAGCACAUGACGAUGUGCUGCACACACCGGAAAAUGCAAAUGGUUAACAAGAGCCGCGAAACACUCGGACGCGAGAGCGUGAAAUUUCUUACCACGACCGCGCGCUCUCUGUACCCUCCCCACCCUCUCUCUCUCUCUUUCUCUCUCGUUAACCGAGAUAUCGCGUCGGACACCUCACUCGGAAAUUAUAUGACGCGAAAUUUUUUAUCCGCUCUCUAAUUUUUCCCGGAAAUCUCAUUUCAAGAGUGAACGAAACAAUUCUCCAGGCGCAUCGAAAUUCGCCGGGCAUUAAAACUUGCUCAUUUUCCACGGUGGUUCCAUUUAUUUGCGUCCAAUUUAUUCCGCGGCGCCGGUGGCGAGCGUACCUUAAGUCGAUCCCCGCGCCGGUGGAAGAGCAUUGGGCCGCCAUUGAUACCGAUCAUCGAGAACUUCGACAGCGUUUUUCUCUUCUGGGUUUGUCCGGAAAUAAGAAACACGUCUCAUUUUCGAUUCCCCCGGGGAGGAAUACCCCGGCAACGCCCGCGGCACGACGUCUGGCGUGAAAAGAAAGAGAAGAAAAAACGAAAAGGACACGGGAUAAGAGCGUUCCGCGUAAAUUCUUCAGCCACUCCGAUUGAAUUGAAGGCUGCGUUCGCCAUACAUGAUAGAACAUUCGAGCAAUAACGAAGAUCACGCGAAUGAAAGAAAGAGGUAGGACGCACGCCGGCGGAUAUUAUCUUCGCGGCGUACUUUUGACUAUUAGUUAAUUAAGGAACGGGAAGAUAAAUAAAAAAAGAGAGAGAUUAAUUAUCACUCUCUAUCUACGUCUCUCUCAACGAAUUUACACACAAACACACAUACCAAACGCGCAGAUGCGUCCUCCUUUUGGGAUUAAUUGUAACUAACCUAGCGUGCGCGAUUUUUUUGACCAGCACUCUUCGGAUUAGUUUACC